rnacentral:rRNA from 1 species
GUUGGGUAGGGGAGCGUUCUGUAAGCCUGCGAAGGUGGCCUGUGAGGGUUGCUGGAGGUAUCAGAAGUGCGAAUGCUGACAUAAGUAACGAUAAAGCGGGUGAAAAGCCCGCUCGCCGGAAGACCAAGGGUUCCUGUCCAACGUUAAUCGGGGCAGGGUGAGUCGACCCCUAAGGCGAGGCCGAAAGGCGUAGUCGAUGGGAAACGGGUUAAUAUUCCCGUACUUGGUGUUACUGCGAAGGGGGGACGGAGAAGGCUAUGUUGGCCGGGCGACGGUUGUCCCGGUUUAAGCGUGUAGGUGUGUGUUCCAGGUAAAUCCGGUUCACUUUAACACUGAGGCGUGACGACGAGGCACUACGGUGCUGAAGCAACAAAUGCCCUGCUUCCAGGAAAAGCCUCUAAGCAUCAGGUAACAUCAAAUCGUACCCCAAACCGACACAGGUGGUCAGGUAGAGAAUACCAAGGCGCUUGAGAGAACUCGGGUGAAGGAACUAGGCAAAAUGGUGCCGUAACUUCGGGAGAAGGCACGCUGACACGUAGGUGAAGUGAUUUACUCAUGGAGCUGAAGUCAGUCGAAGAUACCAGCUGGCUGCAACUGUUUAUUAAAAACACAGCACUGUGCAAACACGAAAGUGGACGUAUACGGUGUGACGCCUGCCCGGUGCCGGAAGGUUAAUUGAUGGGGUCAGCGCAAGCGAAGCUCCUGAUCGAAGCCCCGGUAAACGGCGGCCGUAACUAUAACGGUCCUAAGGUAGCGAAAUUCCUUGUCGGGUAAGUUCCGACCUGCACGAAUGGCGUAAUGAUGGCCAGGCUGUCUCCACCCGAGACUCAGUGAAAUUGAACUCGCUGUGAAGAUGCAGUGUACCCGCGGCAAGACGGAAAGACCCCGUGAACCUUUACUAUAGCUUGACACUGAACAUUGAGCCUUGAUGUGUAGGAUAGGUGGGAGGCUUUGAAGUGUGGACGCCAGUCUGCAUGGAGCCGACCUUGAAAUACCACCCUUUAAUGUUUGAUGUUCUAACGUGGACCCGUGAUCCGGGUUGCGGACAGUGUCUGGUGGGUAGUUUGACUGGGGCGGUCUCCUCCUAAAGAGUAACGGAGGAGCACGAAGGUUGGCUAAUCCUGGUCGGACAUCAGGAGGUUAGUGCAAUGGCAUAAGCCAGCUUGACUGCGAGCGUGACGGCGCGAGCAGGUGCGAAAGCAGGUCAUAGUGAUCCGGUGGUUCUGAAUGGAAGGGCCAUCGCUCAACGGAUAAAAGGUACUCCGGGGAUAACAGGCUGAUACCGCCCAAGAGUUCAUAUCGACGGCGGUGUUUGGCACCUCGAUGUCGGCUCAUCACAUCCUGGGGCUGAAGUAGGUCCCAAGGGUAUGGCUGUUCGCCAUUUAAAGUGGUACGCGAGCUGGGUUUAGAACGUCGUGAGACAGUUCGGUCCCUAUCUGCCGUGGGCGCUGGAGAACUGAGGGGGGCUGCUCCUAGUACGAGAGGACCGGAGUGGACGCAUCACUGGUGUUCGGGUUGUCAUGCCAAUGGCACUGCCCGGUAGCUAAAUGCGGAAGAGAUAAGUGCUGAAAGCAUCUAAGCACGAAACUUGCCCCGAGAUGAGUUCUCCCUGAGACUUUAGGUCUCCUGAAGGAACGUUGAAGACGACGACGUUGAUAGGCCGGGUGUGUAAGCGCAGCGAUGCGUUGAGCUAACCGGUACUAAUGAACCGUGAGGCUUAACCUUACAACGCCGAAG